UACGGGAGGCAGCAGUGGGGGAUAUUGCGCAAUGGGGGAAACCCUGACGCAGCGACGCCGCGUGGAGGAAGAAGGUUUUCGGAUUGUAAACUCCUGUCAACAGGGACGAGGAAGGACGGUACCUGUGGAGGAAGCCACGGCUAACUACGUGCCAGCAGCCGCGGUAAU
rnacentral:rRNA from 1 species